CAGUGCAAGACCGAGUUAAGCUCAUCUGAUUCUAGUGUAUAGACAGCUUGGUGAUUAUUUCUGAUGAUGAGAUUCCCGAAACAACCACUCAUGACCUUUUGAAUCUGAGUUCCACACAAUUUGAGGGAAACGUGACUAACAGUGAUUAUGACGGAGAUAUUUCAGAUACGAGUGAUGCAAUAGAAGACCAAGAGGAAAUCAUCUCGGAAACCGACAUUCAACAAGACAUCGAACUACAACAGAUCUGCGCAGUGUGGCGUGAAUUCUUCGAAGCAAAGACUGAUUUAUUGGAAAACUUUGGACAGAUUGAUUAUACACUUGAUUCUGGUCGAGGUACAGAUUUUAUCCCUUUACUGUACAGCACGCUUGAAAAUGUGAAUAGAUGUCUCACAGUGAGCAUAAAGUUGAUUAGAAAAUUGUAUGAUAGAUAUGGCGCAGAAACGACUGAAAUGCAGUUCGGAUAUGGAGACUAAAAAAAGAGAACCGAAAAUUCUCCAUUAUCACAUGAUUUCUUUUAUGACGGAAACCAGAGUUUUUCAAAUGAUUCGCACACACCCCUGA
ensembl:lncRNA